rnacentral:rRNA from 1 species
AGCAAUACAACUGGCGCACGGCGCACGGGUGCGUAACACGUGGGUAACCUGCCCUUUGGUGGGGAAUAACUCCGCGAAAGCGGAGCUAAUUCCGCAUAAGAUCCGCAAGGAUGAAAGCCGAAAGGCGCCGAUGGAGGGGCCCGCGCCCGAUUAGCUAGUUGGUAGGGUAAUGGCCUACCAAGGCUUUGAUCGGUAGCUGGUCUGAGAGGAUGAUCAGCCACACUGGAACUGAGACACGGUCCAGACUCCUACGGGAGGCAGCAGUGGGGAAUCUUGCACAAUGGGCGAAAGCCUGAUGCAGCGACGCCGCGUGGGGGAUGAAGCAUUUCGGUGUGUAAACCCCUUUCGAUCCGGACGAAUGCCCGCAAGGGAGUGACGGUACGGAUAUAAGAAGCCCCGGCUAACUACGUGCCAGCAGCCGCGGUAAGACGUAGGGGGCCAGCGUUGUUCGGAAUUACUGGGUGUAAAGGGUUCGUAGGCGGUGCGGCAAGUUGGGAGUGAAAUCUCUGGGCUUAACCCAGAGGCUGCUUCCAAAACUGCUGUGCUUGAGUGUGGGAGAGGCGCGUGGAAUUGCAGGUGUAGCGGUGAAAUGCGUAGAUAUCUGCAGGAACACCCGUGGCGAAAGCGGCGCGCUGGACCACUACUGACGCUGAGGAACGAAAGCUAGGGGAGCAAACAGGAUUAGAUACCCUGGUAGUCCUAGCCCUAAACGAUCAGGACUUGGGGUGCCACCCGUUCGGGUGUCGUCCCGGAGCUAACGCGUUAAGUCCUGCACCUGGGGAGUACGGUCGCAAGACUGAAACUCAAAGGAAUUGAC